CAGGAUUCUCUUCUCCGUUUCUUUCAUUCUCUGCGUUAAUGGUGAUAUUGCGUUGUUGCAGAAAAUGGAGUUGUUGUUGAUGCUGAGGCGAUGAUGAUACGUUGAUAGAAGGAUGGAUUUUCUUGCGCUGAACUGUGAGAAUUGAAGAUUAUCGCGAGUUAUGGAGGAUUCGUGAGGAACUGAGAUUAUGAGAGUAAUGAUGAUUCUUUUCUUCUUUGUCUGAGCUUCUGUUACACUUUUGUUGUGAUUCUGAGAAUCAAAUUAUGGCGGAGAAGUGUUGAAGGUGAUGAUUAUGGUUCAAGAUUGAAUUUUCUGAGUUUUUGAUGGAGAAUUCGUGAGAGGGAGAAGUAAUAGGCUGUGGAUUGAAGAAGGUUCAUAGUUUAAAGAGUGGUGGUGAUUGAGGAUGAUGAUUGAUUCUGAGAUUGUGAAGAUUCAAUUGGAUCUUGAAGAAAGUUUGUUACAAGUUUUUGCUCAGGGCGAGAGAGAGAAAGAGAGAGAGAGAGAGAGUUUCUUUCUGUUGAAAGUUUGUUACAUUUUUUUUUGUGAGUUUCUCUUAUCCUCUUCUGGUUUUCUGUUAUGUAUCGUGAGAGAGUAAUUGAAGAUGAUGAGAUCGUGAAAGUUGAAGAGUGUGAAGGAUUAUGGAGAGAUCGAGAAAACGGUUAUGGUGGACGAUUCAAGGAUCUGAAGUUUGUUACAUCUCCCUUCCAUUCUGUUACCUUCUUCCCUCUUCUGUUAUCCAUUUUCUGGUGCUGGCUCGGUUUUGUUAGCAUGCUUGUAUGCUUGGAAUGUCCUUGGCAUUGUUUGAAAAAGAAGUAGCAAAGGCCUAUUGGGCUUCAACUGGAGAUUGAAGAUUAGGAUAGAUAAAGAGAUUUGGUUUUCUAUUCAUGAAUGAGUUAUAUUGGAAUUUUUGUAAUGAGUUGGACUCUUCUUGAAUGUGAAUUGUGAUGAUAGAUCUUGCAAUGAGUUUAUCAAAGAAUGUCUCUUUUGAA